rnacentral:rRNA from 1 species
AGAUUGAACGCUGGCGGCAUGCUUUACACAUGCAAGUCGAACGGUAACAGGCCGCAAGGUGCUGACGAGUGGCGAACGGGUGAGUAAUGCAUCGGAACGUGCCCAGUCGUGGGGGAUAACGCAGCGAAAGCUGUGCUAAUACCACAUACGAUCUAUGGAUGAAAGCGGGGGACCGAAAGGCCUCGCGCGAUUGGAGCGGCCGAUGUCAGAUUAGCUAGUUGGUGGGGUAAAGCCCACCAAGGCGACGAUCUGUAGCUGGUCUGAGAGGACGACCAGCCACACUGGAACUG